CAAGCUUUUUGCUGGCAUUCUUCCUUCCUUGUUUUCCUUCAGUAUCCCCUGACCCUGCCUUAUUUUCCUUCUUCCUUUUUCUGUUAUUUCUCCCUCCCCACAAAAAAAAAAAUGUAUUGAGUGAUUUGCAAAUAACCAGUGAGAUAUGCUACCCGCCUCUUUUGCUCUCCCCUCCAAGCCCCAAAGAUACCCCUAUUCAACCAAUCACAUUGGAUAUCUAAAGAUAUGGAAAAAAGUCUUCAAUCAUAGGAAACUAACAUAUCUUCUUUCAUGAUUGCAAAACUGCAGCAGCUGUUAACUCUUCUGAACGAGGAGAGCGGGAGCUACCAUUCUCAGGCUCCUUGGGGAAAGAAGAGCUAAAUCAGCCAUGUGAGACUGUCUCUAUUGAACAAGAUUGGACAUGAACAAAGCCAGUCUAUUCUCAGCUUGCCAGCUGCAGCUCAGCUUUUGGGUGAAAUGAGGUAUUUAUUUGCUCUCUUCUUCUCUCCUUGUAGAGGCUCCUCUCAUAUGAAUCAUGCGUGUGAGACUCCUUGUACCAUUUAAAAUUCUUUCUGUCAGCUCCAUUCUAUCUACAUCCAUAGGAAUAUUCAGUAGAAAUAUCUGGGGUAGAGUGUGGAGGAGAAAGUUUGAGAUUACAUAUAAACUCAUCACUGGAUUUUGAGACAGGCUAAGUCUCCACUGCUGAUAACAAACUUGUCUUAAAGUCAGAGCACCUGGCCCAGACACUGCCCUAGCUAUCUCUUGUUCUGGCUGAAUUGGAUCCGUAACCUUUCAUCGUACUACAUAGAGGAUGCACCAAAUUUAGCUGCUGAAUGAUGACCAGGAGCUGUGUUAUCCUCACUCAGAACAAAUAUUCACAAGGCUCCCUGUGAUGGGAGCCUCUGGAGCUGGGCCAUGGCCAUUCUGGAAGCAUGUCACUGGAAGACACAGCUUAAGGUUCACACAAGAAGAGGCCUUUCUUCCGAGCAAGGGAAGUCACAGAAGUUUAAAGACCUGUCUCCAUGGUCCCAGAGACAGUGGAAGAGUAAGAAUAUUUGGGAUUAGUUGAUUAAAACAAAACAAAAUAAACAACAAAAAACCUUCAAGCUACAACCCAAAAUGUAUAAAAUGCAAGUAAAGUGAGGAGGUGAUUAUUCAUGUUGCACAGUUGAGCAUUAACAGAGAAAAGAGAAUUACCCAACUUACUUUGGUCUGUAGACUAGCCCUGAAUUCUUUCUUGCCUGAGGUCCAAGAACCCUCUCCUGGGUCUGGAUUGGCACCGCUUUCCAGUAACAUCUUCCUGGCAACCAUGAAGGGACUACACUGAGGAAACCUGACUCAAAGGAAAUAGAAUGCAGCACCAAUUAGCCGACUUUGGAUGGACUCUGCUUAUUCCUGUGAACCAACCACUGAUUUCUGGCUGCUGCUCAGAAGAAACAAGAGGAACAAACUCAGGAGCAAAACUUCAUCGCAAAAGGUGUAGUGAAAUUAUUAAUAUGUGGUCAAUCAAAGCAACUGCUGAGAGCCAAGAUUCUAACUCUCAACUAUAUGAAAGACGCCAGUCCAGUCUAGAUCCACAAGUGAAUGGCUUCCUACUUUUCUCCAGCCUUCAAAUCACCUGAAAGCUCCUGCUCAAGUUGCAUCUGUGUUGAACAGUCUGUGCCAUGCCAGGCCUCUUUGUUUUGUGGAUUCAUAAGGUAAGCAGGAUCUUUUCAGUGUUUGAGACUCACCUGGAACUCAGAAGACAUCAAACCUUUCUGGCACGUUCUUUUUCAGCAAGUCAGGAGGCCAUGAACAAAUUUCUACAGAUAAUGUCCAAUUUUAUAAUAUCAGUCUUAUGUGACUAAACUUACAUGAAACUAAAAUUUUUGCAAUGGCUCUGAUAAAGUGAACUUUUAGUAUCAUUAAUUAAUUAACAAAUGUUAUUAAUUUUAAGUUUC
rnacentral:lncRNA from 10 species